rnacentral:rRNA from 1 species
GAUGAACGCUAGCGGCAGGCUUAACACAUGCAAGUCGAGGGGUAUUGGUUUUCGGACCAAGAGACCGGCGCACGGGUGCGUAACGCGUAUGCAAUCUACCUUUUGCAGAGGGAUAGCCCAGAGAAAUUUGGAUUAAUACCUCAUAGUAUAGUACUUUGGCAUCAAGGAACUAUUAAAGUCACAACGGCAAAAGAUGAGCAUGCGUCCCAUUAGCUAGUUGGUAAGGUAACGGCUUACCAAGGCUACGAUGGGUAGGGGUCCUGAGAGGGAGAUCCCCCACACUGGUACUGAGACACGGACCAGACUCCUACGGGAGGCAGCAGUGAGGAAUAUUGGACAAUGGGCGCAAGCCUGAUCCAGCCAUGCCGCGUGCAGGAAGACGGUCCUAUGGAUUGUAAACUGCUUUUAUACAGGAAGAAACACUCGGACGUGUCCGAACUUGACGGUACUGUAUGAAUAAGCAUCGGCUAACUCCGUGCCAGCAGCCG